UAGCCAGCACCCCGAGUGGUCGGGACGUUUAUUGGGCCUAAAGCAUCCGUAGCCGGUUCUACAAGUCUUCCGUUAAAUCCACCUGCUUAACAGAUGGGCUGCGGAAGAUACUAUAGAGCUAGGAGGCGGGAGAGGCAAGCGGUACUCGAUGGGUAGGGGUAAAAUCCGUUGAUCCAUUGAAGACCACCAGUGGCGAAGGCGGCUUGCCAGAACGCGCUCGACGGUGAGGGAUGAAAGCUGGGGGAGCAAACCGGG
rnacentral:rRNA from 1 species